GCACUUUUAAAAAGUGCCGAGCCUCGAAACUCGAACGAUAUAUCAGUGGCGGAUAAAUACACGCCCUUAAAUGCGUGUUUUUU
rnacentral:sRNA from 1 species